AGGGAAUUUUCGUCAAUGGGCGCAAGCCUGAACGAGCGAUGCCGCGUGAGUGAAGAAGGCCUUCGGGUCGUAAAGCUCUGUUGCGGGGGAAAAAAGGCAGCAUCAGGAAAUGGGUGCUGACUGAUGGUGCCCCGCCAGAAAGUCACGGCUAACUAAGUGCCAGCAGCCGCGGUAAUACGUAGGUGGCGAGCGUUAUCCGGAAUGAUUGGGCGUAAAGGGUGCGCAGGCGGUCCUGCAAGUCUGGAGUGAAACGCAUGAGCUCAACUCAUGCAUGGCUUUGGAAACUGGAGGACUGGAGAGCAGGAGAGGGCGGUGGAACUCCAUGUGUAGCGGUAAAAUGCGUAGAUAUAUGGAAGAACACCAGUGGCGAAGGCGGCCGCCUGGCCUGUUGCUGACGCUGAGGCACGAAAGCGUGGGGAGCAAAUAGG
rnacentral:rRNA from 1 species